rnacentral:rRNA from 1 species
UAGGGAAUAUUAGAAAUGGACGAAAGUCUGAUCUAGCAACACCGCGUGUGCGAAGAAGGCCUUCGGGUCGUAAAGCACUUUUUGGAAGGAAUAGGAAGGAAUGUACUUCCAGAAUAAGUCUCGGCUAACUACGUGCCAGCAGCCGCGGUAACACGUAGGAGGCGAACGUUAUCCGGAUUUACUGGGCGUAAAGCGCGUGUAGGUGGUUCUGUAAGUAGGGCGUGAAAGCUCCUGGCUCAACUGGGAGAGGCCGUUCUAAACUACAGAACUAGAGGAUGGUAGAGGGAGGUGGAAUUCCAGGUGUAGCGGUGGAAUGCGCAGAUAUCUGGAGGAACACCAGUGGCGAAGGCGGCCUCCUGGACCAUUCCUGACACUCAGACGCGGAAGCUAGGGUAGCAAACG